GACGAACGCUGGCGGCGUGCCUAACACAUGCAAGUUGAGCGACGAACCAGGGCUUGCCCUGGGGCAAAGCAGCGAACGGGUGAGUAACACGUGGGUAACCUGCCCCGAUGAUCGGGACAACCCGAGGAAACUCGGGCUAAUACCGAAUGUGCUCGCCGGACACCAGUCCGGCGCGUAAAGGAAGCUUCGGCCUCCGCCUCGGGAGGGGCCCGCGGCCCAUUAGCUUGUUGGUGAGGUAACGGCUCACCAAGGCAACGAUGGGUAGCUGGUCUGAGAGGACGAUCAGCCACACUGGGACUGAGACACGGCCCAGACUCCUACGGGAGGCAGCAGUGGGGAAUCUUGCGCAAUGCGCGAAAGCGUGACGCAGCAACGCCGCGUGGGGGAAGAAGGCCUUCGGGUUGUAAACCCCUUUCAGGAGGGACGAAGGUGCGGCGGUGAAUAGCCGUCCGGACUGACGGUACCUCCACAAGAAGCCCCGGCUAACUACGUGCCAGCCGCCGCGGUAAGAC
rnacentral:rRNA from 1 species